UGGGGAAUAUUGCACAAUGGGCGAAAGCCUGAUGCAGCGACGCCGCGUGAGUGAAGAAGUAUUUCGGUAUGUAAAGCUCUAUCAGCAGGGAAGAAAAUGACGGUACCUGACUAAGAAGCCCCGGCUAACUACGUGCCAGCAGCCGCGGUAAUACGUAGGGGGCAAGCGUUAUCCGGAUUUACUGGGUGUAAAGGGAGCGCAGACGGCACUGCAAGUCUGAAGUGAAAGCCCGGGGCUCAACCCCGGGACUGCUUUGGAAACUGUAGGGCUAGAGUGCUGGAGAGGCAAGCGGAAUUCCUAGUGUAGCGGUGAAAUGCGUAGAUAUUAGGAAGAACACCAGUGGCGAAGGCGGCUUGCUGGACAGUAACUGACGUUCAGGCUCGAAAGCGUGGGGAGCAAACAGG
rnacentral:rRNA from 1 species